AUUUAACUUAAAUAGCGGCCCAUUCUGGAGAACAUAUUUGACCCAUAAUUUAAAUUAGAAAGAAGCCCCUUCUGAAAAAUCUAAUUGACGUUACAAGUGACUCCGCAUAUCCGUUCGACGGCUCUUCUUCCUCCGACUUUACUUGAUGGCAGUAACUCACCUAUGUAAUACCUGCCAAUCUAUUAUCCCUACUAUGUUAUUGAAUGGCGAUUCUUUGGUUUCUCUGUGAAAUGUAGCUAUUGCAUAUAUAUUGUCGUCAUGCGUCAGAGAGAGCUCAUAGUUUCUUUUAUCCUCUAUUGCACGAUACCUUACCAAACCGACGCUUACAACAAUUUCCAAAAUCUACCUUUCCGAUCCGAAGGCUGGCCCGUUGAUUCCCGUUUUAGUUUAAUAAAUAUCAGACAGCCUUUUUGGUUACUAUUAAACUGAAUCUACUUUGAGUUUCUUAGCUUGGUUAAUGAUUUAUGUUUUGUCUGUAAACACUUUCAGACGGAUCAGGGACAGCUGAUUAGUUUCAAGAAACAGUAAGGAAGAUGCCAACCUACUCUUUCCAGCAUCAGUGUUUUCAGAGCACCUUAUGGUCCUUCCAGGCCCUCCUCUACACAUGCAGCCACCAGCCUCAGCUACCAAAAACAGCUUAGGAGUCACAAAUAUUGACUAUAUGGAAAUAUUCAUCAACCUAAACUCAUCAAUUGGACCAAAAGAAAGUGCAGAAAGAGCAGUUAUGGUACCGUAACCGGACGCUCCUGGUAUAACCCUCUUGGAGCAGCAGGGCAUGCUCUUCGAACGGUGUACAAUUUUGAAUUCUAUCCCAUCUCUAUAUUAGUAACGUUUUCCUAUAUUUUGCAGGGAAUUUACGUAUGUCUUAGAGUCUUUGGCAGUUCGUCACGGGAUGUUGGAAAGCUUAGAUGUGCAACCUAGGACCAUUUUUGCCACUAGCAUCAACCUCAAAUUCGUAUGAGGACUCAUUAUUAUUUUGAUAAAGACACAAACGGCAAGUCUUCAACUGUUUGCCUCCACUGUACGUUUAGGUGGCACCGACGGAAGUGACCGGCAAAGUGUUUCCAAGUACGGCGGUGUCCUCUAUAAUAAUUGAACAGCCUAACUUUUAUGUUUUAUGUUUUCUGAAUUCUACUCCCAGUUUUAUUAAUGCAUGGCUUUUUAUAUUAAGCCAUUCUAUUUAAAAAUCAUUUGUACUGUUUUUUUUUUAAUUUUAUCGAUUUAACACCAAAGUAAGCUACACA